CCUUUUAACUCAUAUUUAUUCAGAAAUUUGCCUUUUCUUGCAAUGGACAGUUUUGUGAUUUAUUGACCAGUGAUUGUGUGCCUUGUGACCUUUUCCCUAACCAAGCAACAAGAAGCCGUUUGCCUUUCCUGCCUUUGCUUUUGUUGUUUGUUGGCAUGCUGAAACCCUGCAGCCCCAUGGCAAUGCCAGGCGGCUGAAAAGGAAAUCAACAGAAAAACUGUAAUUCAUUAAAAAAUUUAUUUAAGCAUCAUUAAGUUAACAAUGGCCAUAACGGUCGUCUGUACCAUAUUUAACGUUUAUUAAUUACGCCCAAGUUUUUUCUCUCCGUCGUUCGUCCUAAGGAUUUGCACAGCGAGGCUGUAAAGAGGUCACUUCAGUGAGCAUCAUAAAUGCUUUGAAGGUUGUUAACGAAGCACCCAAAAAGAAGUAAAAUCAAUUAAAUUCCAAGACUUUCUAGUGCUAGCUGCAUCAACUAAGAGAUUAAGGUAUACAAUUACACUUUCAAGCCUUAUUGCAUGAGAUGAAAUCCAAAGCCUCCUAAGUGAUGUAAACCAAAAACGAGAAAUGUAAUGAAUGCAACAAUUUUUAAAUCCAAAUGAGCUUUUACCAAAAUGUCCGUAAAAAUUAAAUUACUAAAACAUGUUUUUAAAACACCCACACAUUUUGAACAUUUUGGUAUGAAUAUCAGAAGACAAAAUUGUUGAGCGACCAGCAAAUGGGUGUUUAUCCUAAAAAUUCUUAAAUGAAAUUUUCACUAAAGACAACGUCUCAAUAGAUUUUAUUCAUCCAAAGGCAAAAUAUUGAUGAACAUUUCGCUAAACACCAAAUUUCAAUAAAAUUUUCUUGAAGACCAAA
rnacentral:sRNA from 1 species